rnacentral:rRNA from 1 species
GAUAAACGCUGGCGGCGUGCCUAAUACAUGCAAGUCGAGCGAACGGACGAGAAGCUUGCUUCUCUGAUGUUAGCGGCGGACGGGUGAGUAACACGUGGAUAACCUACCUAUAAGACUGGGAUAACUUCGGGAAACCGGAGCUAAUACCGGAUAAUAUUUUGAACCGCAUGGUUCAAAAGUGAAAGACGGUCUUGCUGUCACUUAUAGAUGGAUCCGCGCUGCAUUAGCUAGUUGGUAAGGUAACGGCUUACCAAGGCAACGAUGCAUAGCCGACCUGAGAGGGUGAUCGGCCACACUGGAACUGAGACACGGUCCAGACUCCUACGGGAGGCAGCAGUAGGGAAUCUUCCGCAAUGGGCGAAAGCCUGACGGAGCAACGCCGCGUGAGUGAUGAAGGUCUUCGGAUCGUNAAACUCUGUUAUUAGGGAAGAACAUAUGUGUAAGUAACUGUGCACAUCUUGACGGUACCUAAUCAGAAAGCCACGGCUAACUACGUGCCAGCAGCCGCGGGUAUACGUAGGUGGCAAGCGUUAUCCGGAAUUAUGGGCGUAANGCGCGCGUAGCGGUUUUUUAGUCUGAUGUGAAAGCCCACGGCUCAACCGUGGAGGGUCAUUGGAAACUGGAAAACUUGAGUGCAGAAGAGGAAAGUGGAAUUCCAUGUGUAGCGGUGAAAUGCGCAGAGAUAUGGAGGAACACCAGUGGCGAAGGCGACUUUCUGGUCUGUAACUGACGCUGAUGUGCGAAAGCGUGGGGAUCAAACAGGAUUAGAUACCCUGGUAGUCCACGCCGUAAACGAUGAGUGCUAAGUGUUAGGGGGUUUCCGCCCCUUAGUGCUGCAGCUAACGCAUUAAGCACUCCGCCUGGGGAGUACGACCGCAAGGUUGAAACUCAAAGGAAUUGACGGGGACCCGCACAAGCGGUGGAGCAUGUGGUUUAAUUCGAAGCAACGCGAAGAACCUUACCAAAUCUUGACAUCCUUUGACAACUCUAGAGAUAGAGCCUUCCCCUUCGGGGGACAAAGUGACAGGUGGUGCAUGGUUGUCGUCAGCUCGUGUCGUGAGAUGUUGGGUUAAGUCCCGCAACGAGCGCAACCCUUAAGCUUAGUUGCCAUCAUUAAGUUGGGCACUCUAAGUUGACUGCCGGUGACAAACCGGAGGAAGGUGGGGAUGACGUCAAAUCAUCAUGCCCCUUAUGAUUUGGGCUACACACGUGCUACAAUGGACAAUACAAAGGGCAGCGAAACCGCGAGGUCAAGCAAAUCCCAUAAAGUUGUUCUCAGUUCGGAUUGUAGUCUGCAACUCGACUACAUGAAGCUGGAAUCGCUAGUAAUCGUAGAUCAGCAUGCUACGGUGAAUACGUUCCCGGGUCU